GCACUGCUGAAGAGUCCCACAAUUGGACGAAACGGCCGUCCAGUGC
rfam:Schistosoma mansoni, Puerto Rico, WGS project CABG01000000 data, contig: 0013